rnacentral:sRNA from 1 species
CAGGGUGCGGCGCGGCCCCCGAGGAGCGGAACAAUCCUUGGGAGGUAUGCGGGGGCUUAUCGAGCCCCCCAUUUACGCACGCACGACUGCCAUCCUUACUUUACGAGCACCUUCUGUUCUCCCUCGGCGGGGCAACCUGCCGUUGGAACCGAAUAAACUCUUUUUGCAUCUAGCAUUACCUGUUCCGAAACAAACAAUCGUUACAACUUUCAACAAUGGAUCUCUUGGCUCUGGCAUCGAUGAAGAACGCAGCGAAAUGCGAUAAGUAGUGUGAAUUGCAGAAUUCAGUGAAUCAUCGAAUCUUUGAACGCACAUUGCGCCCCUCGGUAUUCCGUGGGGCAUGCCUGUUCGAGCGUCAUCUACACCCUCAAGCUCUGCUUGGUGUUGGGCGUCUGUCCCGCCUCCGCGCGUGGACUCGCCCCAAAUUCAUUGGCAGCGGUCCUUGCCUCCUCUCGCGCAGCACAUUGCGCUUCUCGAGGGGCUACGGCUCGCGUCCAACAAGCACAUUUACCGUCUUUGACCUCGGAUCAGGUAGGGAUACCCGCUGAACUUAA